AGGGAGGGAAAGGGGGUGAGUGACUGUGCGCUGGAUAAGUAGAAACUCUGGGUGUCAGGAGGCCUCAGGGGUGGGAGAACAGAAGACCAGACAGGAGGAGGCCAGCCUGAAGAUUGGGGUUUGUUAGGACAUUUUAAAUGCAGCAGUGCUGAGGUCUUUAGCUCUAGUUACUUACCAUCUUAUGGCACAGGGAGUGAUGCUAGAGCUGUGCCUUGUUGUCUUCUGUGAGACCACCCUCGGGUGACACUGUCCUUUCAGCUGCUGAUGCUUCGCAUUCCAGGCUUAAAGGAAGGACACUUGUGUGGAUUAAAAGUAAACCAGUGACUCUCACAGCUGAAAUUCUUGGAAGCUACAAGGUACUGAAAAUUGUGGAGGUGAGUGCAGCAGACUGUGUCAUUGCCCUCAGAUUGUAACUUUUGUGCUAUAAGG
rnacentral:lncRNA from 1 species